CUUCCAGUUUACACAGGAAAAUUUGUUCAGUUCUUACAGAAUAAACAGAUAAGAUUCUUAAGUCUUAAACAUUAAAUGAUUCUUAAGUGGACUGGUAUUUAAGAAAAAUGCCUGCAUUGUCAACUUUUUUUUUUUUUUAUUCUAACAGCAACCUGCGCUGUGUUAUAUAACAAAGUCUGUCUUUCAGCCCCACACCUCAGCAGCCCUCCUCCUUUCCCUGCAGGUCCCGGAGUCUUCGACGACUUCUCCAAGGUCAGCCAGUGAGGGGCCCGGCUCCUACGGCGGAACCGGCCCACUCCAACCAAGCCCACGUACCACACCCGCCAGAGCACCGCCCGGUCCCGCCCCCCAGCGCGAGGCUGGGCUUCCGGGCACUCGCGGCCGUCGUCGCCGUCGCGCGAGGUGAGGUGGCCCAGCCAGCGCGGCGAGGCCGGCGCGGGACUACGGACGGACUGCCCCGCCGGGCCCAACGGCUGGGCGCCGGGCCCCGGUGUCCCGGCAACAGGAUUGGGAACCCAUGCCACGCUCACCUACCUGCUCGACUGAGGAAUUACCAUGCCAGGUAAAGGGAAACGAGGAAAAGGCCGAGGCAAGUCUGGCGGGAAGAAACAGAAGAAACCGGAAGUGGACAUUCUCAGCCCUGCUGCCAUGCUGAACCUCUACUACAUCGCCCACAACGUGGCCGACUGCCUGCAGCUGCGAGGCUUCCGCUGGCCAGGUGCUCCCAAAUCAAAGAAAGGGAAAAACAAGACUUAGUAGCAUUUCACAGAGAGCAGAACUUGGGGAAGAGAAAUCAGGAUAACACAACUACUGCAAGCAAAAUAGACUUUACUAAAGACAAUUUGAGAUGCAAGCUAAGUGUGCUUUUCUCUGGUAGUUAAUGAUAAAGAAAUGCAUUUUACUUCCCAGCUAAAUUCAGCAAUAGUUAGCCAAUUUGCUUUUUCAGAAGAGGUCAAGGCGGGGGGCGGGGGGGGAGUCCGAGUAAUUCCUACCAAGCAUGGUGGAAUUGAUAGGACUUUAAAAAUUAUUAUAAUUCUGGGUCAGAAUAAACUUUGUUCUCAAAAGGCA